rnacentral:tRNA from 1 species
AUCUAAGUAGUUUAAUUAAGAAUUUUAAUUUGUGGUAUUAGAGGUACUUUUUAGUCUUAGGUU